UAAGGAAUAUUGGGCAAUGGACGCAAGUCUGACCCAGCCAUGCCGCGUGAAGGAUGAAGGCCCUAUGGGUUGUAAACUUCUUUUAUACGGGAAAAACCUUCGGUCGUGUACCGGAGCUGAUGGUACCGUAAGAAUAAGCAUCGGCUAACUCCGUGCCAGCAGCCGCGGUAAUACGGAGGAUGCAAGCGUUAUCCGGAUUCAUUGGGUUUAAAGGGUGCGCAGGCGGAAUAAUAAGUCAGUGGUGAAAUCC
rnacentral:rRNA from 1 species